GCGGUGUCCAUGGGUUACCGGAGUUGCCGGAGUCCAUGAGCAAAUUGUUGCAGUUGGAAGAAGUGAUAUGUGAUGAAGAGACGUCGUAUUUGUGGAUGGAUUAUGAAAGUGAUCUGAAUAAUUUGAAGAUAAACGUUGUUGAAGAUGACAGACUUGAAAGCUUUAUGAAAAUUGUUCACUGAUCAGUUCUCUUGAUCCUUCAUUGUCAUUCUGUAAAUUGUGGGAUUGUUCUUUAAUUAACUUGAAGAGUCAUUUGUUUUCAUCUUAUAAAAUCAUUGUAUAUACUGUAAAUUUAAAAACUAAUUAACUAAAGAAUCUAUAUAUACGUAUAUUCAUCAAUCAAAGAUAUAUUAGAUGUUUAUGUUUAAUGCUCUUGAGGGCCAUAGUCAUAUCUACAAUCCUUCAUGUUAUGAGUGUAAUCUUUUUAGAGAUGUCAUUUUGUUGGUUUAAUCUAUGGCAUAUAAAUUAUAUCAAGUAUCGUAUUUGCACUCUCAUAAUUAUAUUAGUUAUAUGUAAAUAAAAUUAACUAAUCUAAACUUAUAUAGGGCUAUUUUGUUCCUUUUAUUUGGAAUGCUACUCAAAACAUAGCAUGCAUUAACAUGCCCUCUCCUAAAAAAUCCGCAAUACCAGUUUUGUAAAAAACAUUCGACGUUGGUUAGUCGGUAGACUGCGGUUAAGAGAUUAAUCGGUUAGGCGAUGAUUAACGGAGACCAUAAAUUGUUAAUUCGUUGAAUUUUAAAAAUUUUAAUAUUUUUAAUAUCAUAACAAAGUUUGUAAAUACUACUAAUAUCAUAACAAAAAUGUUAUCAUAACAAAAAUGUNGGAGUUGCCGGAGUCCAUGAGCAAAUUGUUGCAGUUGGAAGAAGUGAUAUGUGAUGAAGAGACGUCGUAUUUGUGGAUGGAUUAUGAAAGUGAUCUGAAUAAUUUGACGAUAAACGUUGUUGAAGAUGACAGGUUUGAAAGCUUUAUGAAAAUUGUUGAGUAAGUUGUAGGACUCUUGAUCCUUCAUAGUUCAUAGUUAUUCAAAGUGUAAAUUGUGGGAUUAUUCUUUAAUUAAAUAUCUUGAAGAGUC
rnacentral:lncRNA from 1 species